rnacentral:rRNA from 1 species
UAUCAGCUUUCGACGGUAAUGUAUUGGCUUACCGUGGCAGUGACGGUUAACGGGGAAUUAGGGUUCAAUUCCGGAGAGGGAGCCUGAGAAACGGCUACCACAUCUAAGGAAGGCAGCAGGCGCGCAAAUUACCCAAUUCUAAUAGCAUAAGAGAGGUAGUGACAAGAAAUAACAGUACAAGGCAGUUUAAAUGCUUUGUAAUUGGAAUGAUAGAAAUUUAAAUACUUUUUAAAGUAUCAAUUGGAGGGCAAGUCUGGUGCCAGCAGCCGCGGUAAUUCCAGCUCCAAUAGCGUAUAUUAAAAUUGUUGCAGUUAAAAAGCUCGUAGUUGAAUUUUUGCUAAAAAUAACCGGUCUGCUUUUAUUAAUAAAGGUGGCAUCUUGGUGUGUUUUUAGCAAUAAUGUCCUUUGAAAUGUUUUUUACUUUAUUGUAAAAGACAAUUUUCAGGAUUUUUACUUUGAGAAAAUUAGAGUGUUUCAAGCAGGCUAACGUUUUGAAUACUGCAGCAUGGAAUAAUAAAAUAGGAUUUUAGUUCUACGUUAAUGGUUUUAAGAGCUAAAUUAAUGAUUGAUAGGAGCAGUUGGGGGCAUUUGUAUUUAACUGUCAGAGGUGAAAU